UAAAAUUUAAGUUCGUAACAAACUAUGACACUUAAAAUUCUGAUGACUUCCUCUACAAGUUUAUUUAGUACGGCCAAUUACAUAAUUUACCUUAAUUCUAUCAAUCAAAAUAUUUAAUCGAUCCUACUUAUAUUUUUUACCAAGAUUUUUGAUAAUCUACAUUGAUUACAAUAUAUUCUAUCAUAACUUAUUUUAACCUACAUUGACUAUAAACCUCUCC
rnacentral:lncRNA from 1 species